GCUGCAUAUAGACAUCCCUACAUCUUUGCCUUGAAGCCUGUCUUGAAACCGCAGAGAUGCUCUGACGGGAGAGAGGGCCGUUGACUUUUCUGGGACGUGCCGGGAUGAGUGGAAGGUGUGUGGGUGACUUGUUCUGGGGCAGUGAGGGGGCUGACGGGAGAGAUGGGAGAAUAAGACCGACAUUUCCUCGUCCCUCUUCCACCCUGUUCUUAGUCACCUGCUGGAGAUGGGACAGGUCAGGAGAGAAUGUACGCUCCCAUUUCUAGCCACUGUCACUUUUCCUGUUGGUUCCAUUUCUGAAGGAAGCAGAGGGGGUCCUUGGUAGCAACAGACCCCUGGAACUCAAGAUUUGAAGGACACCCUUUUGAGGUGUCAGGGCCUUUUUGAGACUGACGAAAGCAACGGGAGCCAGCCCCUGAGUUGGCCUUCUCUGAUAUCCACACCCCCGUGCGGUCCCCGCCCACACUACCUAGAGCUAGCCUCUGCAGACUGUAAUGUAACAUACCGAAGGAGUGAUAGACGGUGACUUUUGAGGCCGGGUCACAGAAAUCAUCUGGCUUCUGCCUCGCUCUCUCUUGGAUCACUCUGGGAAAAGCCAGUUGCCAUGCCGCGAGGACACUCGUGCAGUCCCUACUCAAGUGGACCCAGAUUGUAUAAGACCAGGUCUCCUGCCGGAAGCCGGUGAGAACGGAGAUCUGCUAACAGCCGUGUGAGUGAGCCAGCUUGGCCGCUCUCAGCCCAGCCCCAGGCCGGCCUUCGGAUGCUGCUGCCCCAGCCGACAGCCCCACUGCAGCCUCGAGAGAGAUUCUGAGCCAGAACCACUCAGCUAAGCCACUCCCAGAUUGCUGACCCACAGAAACUGUGACAUAAUAAGUGUUCAUAGCUGUUAAAUUCAGACGAUUUGUUAACGCUGUCUUAGAUAACUAAUAAAUGUGGCCCCCUCUCCCAGAAAUGCACUUAACGCCCACUUUUGCCAACACUUUCAGGACAUUCAAGGAGUUUCUGACAUCCAGGAAAAUCAGGCUAAAAUUCUCUGCCCUCUCGCAAUCCCUCCAGGUGUGGAAGCAGACACACACACACAGCGUGGCAGCUGGGUUCCAAGAGUGAGCUUCCGGAAGGACCAAACACGGGUCCUGCGCAUUUCAGGUAUCCAGGAAGUUCGUGAAAUGCACGGCUAAAGUGAAAUGAGGGUCUUCUUGUGGGAACUCUGGAGAAGCGAGCCAUGCCUCCAGCCUCCGACAUCGGGUGCUGAGCAGACCCCCGCUUCCCCCCGCCUUCCGUGGCCCGUGUCACCCUGCGCCGGGCCCUGCGCCUGGGCCUUUGCACUCAAGCUCCCUGAAGAGGAUGGACCGGAGGGGGGGGCGGUGGCUGAGUGCCCGGCCGGCCCCACUCUUGGGAAGAGAAGCCAAAAGGAGACCCGUCCAGGAGCAGGUCAAGAAGGACAUCUUUGCCUGGGAAGAAGAAGGUGAUCUGUUGGUCUUCCUUCCGGGGAGCGUUUUAUUUGAUGCCAUUUUCCCUGUUGAGUGGCCUCUGCAGCGUUCACGUCGAGCGGCGGAGCUUUGUAGAGUGGUCUGCUCUUGUGGGCACUGGAGUGUUUCCUCUGGCCCUGCUCACAGAGCGGGCGCCACGUGCUGGAGAGGUCUUGGAUGCGUCCUGCCCUGCAGAGGCGCCGUCCUGCUCUCAGAGGCUACCCAGACCAGCUUGCUCUUUGGGAUGCUUGCCCGGCACUGACCGGCCUGCCGCCACUUUGCGUGGAGUUCUGGCUUCCUGCUGUCCCUUCUGAAGGAGAGCUGGUGUCCUCCGGCCAGCCAGAGGCGGCACAUCUGUUGUUCUGCUCGUCUGGCGUUUACUCCCCUCCCUCCAUUUGUUUUUCCUUUUGGCGGGGAGAAUACCUUUCUCUACUCUGCGUGUGGGGGGUCGUACGCACCAGACGCCCCCUCCCUGCUUCGUGACCCUGUUCUAGGAGUAAAGAUGGCAUCCGGACCUAAUCGGUUGGACUUUUCCUUUGGGCUUUGGGCUCUCAGAAUAACGGAAUGCAUGACUCCCCUUGACUCAAGGAGCUUUAAUCCCGGCACUCUUGCUAGAAUUGUUUGCAAACCUCUUUAUCCUGAUCUUGAACCCGGCUGAAUGCAGGCUUACAUCAUCAGGGGCUAGCUUCAGGAGCGGGCCUGCCUGGGAGCGAAACCGGUGGGGAGGGCAGAAGUGAGCAAUACGGAGGGAAACUGAGUCCCGAUGACAUCAUUCCAGUGCGAGGCGUCAGCUGUUUCGGACACGUCCUGGAAUUGUCAGUGACACGAGCCAAAAAGGUCCCCUGGGAUGGUUGAGCAAGUUUAAGUUGUGUUUCUAUCCAACUGAGGAGGUCUUUAAUUCAGCCACGACCCCUGUCUGAAGAAAAUCACUGUCAUUUGGAGGAAAAGCCUCUAGGCAUCGAGGAAACCAUCCUCCGUGUUUCGAAAGAUGUCAGAAUAGUUUCUGUCAUGGCCCACGAGCGCUGGUGUUUUCCUUCUCUUCGUUCUCUGGGACUUGGGCUCCUGCCCAGCCCUGGCCAUUCUCUGGGCAGGACUUCAGACGACAGUGGCAGUGGCCACGUGUAGAUGAGGCCUGGUUCAGGGAGGCGGAUCCCGUGGCACCUGUGGUGGGUGCUGGGAGGUGACAGGUGGGGGAGGAGGAGUAGAGAAGACCACUUAUUUGCUUCUCAAUUUAACCUUUGAUCUGGUUUGUGAAUCUGAUGCCCAAAGAGCCUGUACAUCAAGGACUCAAAGAUUUCUUUGUUAGAACCUAGUGUCCGUGUCUUUUCUAAGCUGAUCAUUUGCCAUUACAAUAUUCGUAGGGAGCCCAAAGGAAGGAACCCUAAGUAGGGAAACAAGAAUUAAAUAUCUAAAUCCA